rnacentral:lncRNA from 1 species
CCAGCGAUUGUGGGCGGGGCGUCUGCAGGCCCCGCCCCGCCCCCCCCGGAGCGGCGGGAGACGGCGGCGGCGGCGGACCGGCGCCGAGCACCGGGACCGGGAGCCACUCCGCGCCGGGACACCGAGGAACGGACGCGGCUCCGAGCGGCGGCUCCCUGGGCGGAGCGGCCGCGGCGGCAGCAGGUGCACGGCAGAGGAGAUCCCGCGUCGCCGCAGCGCCGCCGGAGGGGCCGCUCCGACGCUCCCGCGCCUCCGAGGCCGCACCGGCGCUGUCCGGGCCGCGCCGGGGUGACGCCGUCCCGCCGCCCGCCGCCAGCACCGCCGCCGUCCCCUCCGUCCCCCGCCAAUGCCAUCGGGCGGAGGCCGCGUCCCGAGCCGGGGGCUCCGCUUCGUCCCGCGGGGCGGCGGCGAUGGGGGCGGCUCUCUCCACCGGAGCGGUCGUUGCCAUCUCUUUUAACUGCAUCAUCGCUCUGCUCAUCCUCAUCCUCUUCCACAUCCUUUGCAAGGCCUGCAGGACCCCGUCGUGCCCCAAGAAGAGCCCGGCGUCCGACGCGGACGAAGCGAGGAACGAGGAGAAGUACCUCCUGCAGCCCUGAGCGCGCGGCGAUGGGGGUGGAGGGGACGCGGAGUUGUGCGCAGGGACAGUGACACCGAGCGGAGCCCUUCGGCCCCGCGGUCCCGCUGUCUGGAUGGCCGCGGUGAUGGAGAGACGGCGGCUGGGGACGUGCACCGCCCUCGGUGUCACCUGUCAUGGGGACAGCCCGGCUAAGGGGACGCGCUCUGCCUUUCCCUCGGGGACAGUGGCACGUGGAGAGGCGGCCGGCAGCACCCCGCUGUGCCACGGAGCUGAGCGGGGCCAGCACAGGGCCCGUCCCCUACGGGAGGCUGCUGCGGGGUGGCACCUGCCCGGUGGACACCUGCAGCACCACAGCGACCAGGGUGGCUGCGGGGUGUGGAGAGCAGGGGGCACUCAGCAUCCACCUGCCCAGGGUUUAGUCUGAGAGUCGCCAGGGUGCAGAGGGCCACUCAGUCUGUCUGUUUGUCCUGGAUCUGUCCGUUAGGGUCUACUCACACCCUGUCCUCCCUGAGCUUG